rnacentral:rRNA from 1 species
GAUGAACGCUGGCGGCGUGCCUAAUACAUGCAAGUCGAGCGAACGGACGAGAAGCUUGCUUUUCUGAUGUUAGCGGCGGACGGGUGAGUAACACGUGGAUAACCUACCUAUAAGACUGGGAUAACUUCGGGAAACCGGAGCUAAUACCGGAUAAUAUUUUGCACCGCAUGGUUCAAAAGUGAAAGACGGUCUUGCUGUCACUUAUAGAUGGAUCCGCGCUGCAUUAGCUAGUUGGUAAGGUAACGGCUUACCAAGGCAACGAUGCAUAGCCGACCUGAGAGGGUGAUCGGCCACACUGGAACUGAGACACGGUCCAGACUCCUACGGGAGGCAGCAGUAGGGAAUCUUCCGCAAUGGGCGAAAGCCUGACGGAGCAACGCCGCGUGAGUGAUGAAGGUCUUCGGAUCGUAAAACUCUGUUAUUAGGGAAGAACAUAUGUGUAAGUAACUGUGCACAUCUUGACGGUACCUAAUCAGAAAGCCACGGCUAACUACGUG